AGAUGAAGAAACUAAAAAAGGAUUGAAGGUAAAGUGGUGUUGCUGCUUGUGAUGCCUCUCGUGUGAAGCUUGCGGAUAACCAUCUUCCGCAUCAGCAGUGUCAAACCUCAGGAAUUUCUGCCGUUCUCAACUCAUUGAGUGCUUUCUGACCUGGGAG